rnacentral:rRNA from 1 species
UACGGGGGGGGCAAGCGUUGUUCGGAAUUACUGGGCGUAAAGGGCGCGUAGGCGGCGCAACAAGUCACUUGUGAAAUCUCCGGGCUUAACCCGGAAAGGUCAGCCGAUACUGCGGGGCUAGAGUGCAGAAGGGGCAACUGGAAUUCUCGGUGUAGCGGUGAAAUGCGUAGAUAUCGAGAGGAACACCGGUGGCGAAGGCGGUUCUCUGGGCAUGUCCUGACGCUGAGGAGCGAAAGUGUGGGGAGCGAACAGG